rnacentral:rRNA from 1 species
GUGGGGAAUCUUCCGCAAUGGACGAAAGUCUGACGGAGCAACGCCGCGUGAGUGAAGAAGGUUUUCGGAUCGUAAAGCUCUUUCGUUAGGGACGAACGUGCUCUUUGUGAAUAAUGAGGAGUAAUGACGGUACCUAAAUAAGAAGCCACGGCUAACUACGUGCCAGCAGCCGCGGUAAUACGUAGGUGGCAAGCGUUGUCCGGAAUUAUUGGGCGUAAAGCGCGCGCAGGCGGGAUAUCAAGUCUGUCUUAAAAGUGCGAGGCUCAACCUCGUGAGGGGACAGAAACUGGUAUUCUUGAGUGUCGGAGAGGAAAGUGGAAUUCCAAGUGUAGCGGUGAAAUGCGUAGAUAUUAGGAGGAACACCAGUGGCGAAGGCGACUUUCUGGACUGUAACUGACGCUGAGGCUCGAAAGCCAGGGGAGCGAACGGGAUUAGAAACCCGUGUAGUCC